GAUGAAGAACGUAGCGAAAUGCGAUAAGUAAUGUGAAUUGCAGAAUUCAGUGAAUCAUCGAAUCUUUGAACGCACAUUGCGCCCCCUGGUAUUCCGGGGGGCAUGCCUGUCCGAGCGUCAUUACAACCCUCAAGCUCAGCUUGGUGUUGGGCCCCGCCGCCCCGGCGGGCCCUAAAGUCAGUGGCGGUGCCGUCCGGCUCCGAGCGUAGUAAUUCUUCUCGCUCUGGAGGCCCGGUCGCGUGCCCGCCAGCAACCCCCAAUUUUUUUCAGGUUGACCUCGGAUCAGGUAGGGAUACCCGCUGAACUUAAGCAUAUCAAUAAGCGGAGGA
rnacentral:misc_RNA from 1 species